UACGGAGGGUGCAAGCGUUGUCCGGAAUUACUGGGCGUAAAGGGCGCGUAGGCGGUUUGUUAAGCGAGAUGUGAAAGCCCUGGGCUCAACCUGGGAAUUGCAUUUCGAACUGGCAGGCUAGAGUGUAGAAGAGGGGUGUGGAAUUUCCGGUGUAGCGGUGAAAUGCGUAGAGAUCGGAAGGAACACCAGUGGCGAAGGCGACACCCUGGUCUAACACUGACGCUGAGGUGCGAAAGCGUGGGUAGCAAACAGG
rnacentral:misc_RNA from 1 species